AGAGUUUGAUCCUGGCUCAGGAUGAACGCUAGCGACAGGCUUAACACAUGCAAGUCGAGGGGCAGCGGGGUAGUGCUUGCACUACUGCCGGCGACCGGCGCACGGGUGAGUAACACGUAUGGAACCUGCCCGCAGCAGGGGGAUAAGCGGAAGAAAUUCCGUCUAAUACCGCGUAAGAACGUUGGGAGGCAUCUCCCGAUGUUUAAAGAUUUAUCGGCUGCGGAUGGCCAUGCGGCGCAUUAGCUAGUCGGCGGGGUAACGGCCCACCGAGGCGACGAUGCGUAGGGGUUCUGAGAGGAAGGUCCCCCACACUGGUACUGAGACACGGACCAGACUCCUACGGGAGGCAGCAGUGAGGAAUAUUGGUCAAUGGCCGAGAGGCUGAACCAGCCAAGUCGCGUGAGGGAAGACGGCCCUACGGGUUGUAAACCUCUUUUGUCGGGGAGCAAAGCGAACCACGUGUGGUUCAUUGAGAGUACCCGAAGAAAAAGCAUCGGCUAACUCCGUGCCAGCAGCCGAGGUAAUACGGAGGAUGCGAGCGUUAUCCGGAUUUAUUGGGUUUAAAGGGUGCGCAGGCGGAGGUGCAAGUCAGCGGUCAAAUUGCGGGGCUCAACCCCGUACUGCCGUUGAAACUGCAUCCCUUGAGUGCGCGAGAAGUAUGCGGAAUGCGUGGUGUAGCGGUGAAAUGCAUAGAUAUCACGCAGAACUCCGAUUGCGAAGGCAGCAUACCGGCGCGCAACUGACGCUCAUGCACGAAAGCGUGGGUAUCGAACAGGAUUAGAUACCCUGGUAGUCCACGCAGUAAACGAUGAACACUAACUGUUCGGCCAGAAUGAUGGCUGAGUGGUACAGCGAAAGCGUUAAGUGUUCCACCUGGGGAGUACGCCGGCAACGGUGAAACUCAAAGGAAUUGACGGGGGCCCGCACAAGCGGAGGAACACGUGGUUUAAUUCGAUGAUACGCGAGGAACCUUACCCGGGCUCAAACGACACAGGAAUACUUUUGAAAGGAGGUAGCCCUACGGGGUCUGUGUCGAGGUGCUGCAUGGUUGUCGUCAGCUCGUGCCGUGAGGUGUCGGCUUAAGUGCCAUAACGAGCGCAACCCCUAUCGCCAGUUACCAUCAAGUAAAGUUGGGGACUCUGGCGAGACUGCCGGCGCAAGCUGAGAGGAAGGCGGGGAUGACGUCAAAUCAGCACGGCCCUUACGUCCGGGGCGACACACGUGUUACAAUGGCAGGUACAGAGAGAAGCCAGGUGGUGACACCGAGCGGAACUCGAAAGCCUGUCUCAGUUCGGAUCGGAGUCUGCAACCCGACUCCGUGAAGCUGGAUUCGCUAGUAAUCGCGCAUCAGCCAUGGCGCGGUGAAUACGUUCCCGGGCCUUGCACACACCGCCCGUCAAG
rnacentral:rRNA from 1 species